rnacentral:rRNA from 1 species
UACAGAGGUCUCAAGCGUUGUUCGGAUUCAUUGGGCGUAAAGGGUGCGUAGGCGGCGCCGUAAGUGGGGUGUGAAAUUUCGGAGCUUAACUCCGAAACUGCAUUCCAUACUGCGGUGCUUGAGGACUGGAGAGGAGACUGGAAUUUACGGUGUAGCGGUGAAAUGCGUAGAUAUCGGGAGGAAGACCAGUGGCGAAGGCGGGUCUCUGGACAGUUCCUGACGCUGAGGCGCGAAAGCCAGGGGAGCAAACGGG